GUUAACCCCCUGACAACUAUCAGGAUCUGUUCAUUGUAAAGUAUGCCUGCCUCUACUCCAGUCUAAUAAAAUUCAGAAUCAAAAAGGGCUUAUAUAUUCUUCAGACUGCUGCUUAGCAAGAACUGUCUAUAUAUGACAUCAGUAUCUGUGUAUGUUUUGAGAUAUCAGUUUCUCUGUACUUGGAAGACAUACCUAUUUUCUCUAAUUGCCAAAGGCAAAGGGGAGGUGCACUAAAGAAUAAAGAAGGUUAUUGUGACAGAUGAAACAUAAUUCACAAUGAAUACUCUUUUCAUCCAGACUUAAAUAGAAGAGGAUUACUCCAAGGAGAAUUUUAGAAGAGACAGUAUACUUUGAUUCCAAUAAUAUAAGGACAGGCCACAAACUGGAAAGGCACUGUUAACCUAAAUAGGAUUUUGCUGAAGAUUUUGGAUUUCUCCGUACUGGAAGAAGUGCUAACUUGAAGAAAGUCUGAAGAGAAACAGUCAAUGCAAAGCAAUAUGAGCUGGGAUUUUCUGGAGUGGAUAAUGAUGAAUGUUUGUCUUAUAUUUCUUCUUCAUUUGACAGAACCUUAAUGAAAUGAGAUCACGCUAUUUCUUCAGUAAAUUUGUUCUGUGAAACCCUUUCUCAUAGAAUACGCAAGGAUGAAAAGAAAUAGUGAAAUGCAAGCUAUUUUAUCAUGUUGAGUACAGAGCAAGAGGCGUCAACUCAAAAGACAAAUAAGCUGAAAACAAUUGUUUCAUACAAAAUGUCCAUCUGUGUCAAUUUCAGAGGUACGUGUUAAAGAAAAAGAACUGAGUACAGCCAUUUUUAUUUCAUUUUGAAUUUUAGUCAUUAUAUGCUUCACUGAACCCUUAUUAGAAUAUUUACUUUAAAUAUUUAGCUGCCAUGAAGAUUCUAAAAUAGAAGGUUCCAAUUUAAAUCUUAAGAUAUUAUCUUUUAGAAAACUGUGACUACACUAUUCAUUUUUAUCAAGUUAUGUUUAAUGAAACAAAACAUUAAAAGCUGCAAUCUUAGUAGCAAAUCACUGCAUCUGAAUAAAGUGCUUCACAAAACAGAAUGUUAUACUAACCAUACAAAUUAAUAUUACAUAGUAAAAUUUGAUGCCACUAUAAUCUUAGCUAGGUUGCAUAAGAGUAUUGUAGAUCAACAUUUCAUUUUUGUAAAAAAAAUACUGUAGUCUACAAAACAAUAUGAUUUUAAAUACUACAUUGUUGUAUAGUAGCCCUGCAUGCUAAUAACAAUUCAGAAUGCAUAUUUUCUGCAAUUAAUUGGCUAUGUUAGUAAAUAUGAAACAAAUGUUUAGUUCAUUGUUUGAAGUGUGAACAUUUUUGUUUAAAGACUGUUUGCAUUAUUUCCCGUGACCCUUUGUUGCUGUAUGGUUAUUACAAAUUCAGCAGAGCAAUUUAAACAUCUUUAAUUAAAACUAUUUUGAUUCGAUGAGGCUAGGAGCCGCACUCUCCAUCUUUUUUUAAAGAAGACUUUGAUUUUAUAAGACAAGCUGGAGAGGAGUCAAAUCUGCCACAUGCUGUGUGAAAAAAUGCCACCCUGGUGUGAACAAAGGGUUUAGAAUGGAGUCAAGAAGUGUGCAAGCUCAAUGUGUAAGCUUUUCCUGUGAAUUGUUCUGCCACAACCUGCAGGAUAUCAAGUGGGCCGGGAAGAAUAGGCAGCUCUUAGAAGCUACAACAGAGAAACACUGGCAAUCCAAAGUGUGUGAGAGCCUCUUUUGUUUUGCUUCAUUACGGCAAACUGUUUUACCCAAACAGAAACUAAAUUCAAGACCAAAAAAAGGAAAGGAAAAAGUCUGAGACUGGCUGAAGAACCAGUGGUAUGUGCCUUUUUAUCUUCUCACAGUCCGGAACAAGGUGAUGGAAUUUACAAAUCAGAUAAUUCAUGGCAUGGGCCUCUCAACUCUCCGUCCAAAAUAUAAGAAUAACUUGUGCUGCCCACCAAAAGAAAGAAAGCUCUGUGACCUCUUCCUAAGCUAACUGCUGUGAGAUGGAGAAAAACAUUAAACCUUUCUAGCUUUAUACAUUUCCUUCAUGAUGGGUGAUGUUGAAUUGAAAAUAAAAUUCAGUUUUUUCUUAA